UUACAGUGUCAAAAGUCUGAGCCCACGGCAAGCUUGCUUGUCAGUGGGUGAAAGACUUUAUGACACGCCCGACAUGAGCAAGUAGUGGGGCGGGGGCCCCGCGGAUUGCGAAUGGCGGGGAGCGCGGCGGGAGCUGCGCAGCAGCGUAGCCGCGCG
rnacentral:sRNA from 1 species